UUAGCCUGAAGCCAGAGGACUGUCAACAGUUACUGCACCAAAUCAGCACCUACACAGUCCUUCAUCACCACGGCCAUGGGCGUGACUGUAAUCCACAUGAUGAAACAAAACUAAUCCUUUUGGCCUUUGCAAAUGACUGAAAUUCUCAAUUGCUUUCAUGAAAUUGAUUUCAUGUGGGUGAGGGUCCAUAGUGACGCAGAGUCCCCAGGCAGGUGCAAAGGAGAGCCCCUUUAUUGCAAAAGCCAGGCCUUUUGAAACAGUCAGGGCUUUAUCAGUUAUAUAGUUUUAAAUCAUAACAAAUGUAAUCCAACCAACCACCCUACACUAUGACGUAAACAGCUAAUGGUUAUUUAACUUGGUUUUCUACCUCUAAUCCAGCUGAGUCAUUUUCCCAUAGUCCUCUUCUACUUAGCUGAAGUAGCAGGCCUGAGCCAGGAUUUUACAAAGCAUUUCCACUGGCUUUGCAUGAGAAUAACAGAGAUGUGUCAUCCCUUGGAGUAGCUUUGCCAGGACCAGCUAAGAGAAACCAGCACAGCCUUUUGAUACUACACGUCACUUUUUUUUCCAGAAAAGGUUGCCUAGAGUUUGCUGUUCCAGAAUUCGUGAUUUCAGUGCUGUCAUAUGUCUUUGGCUCACAAGGAGAGUUAAAUGUGAAACCAGAUUCAGAUUUUUUGACUCAGCCCAAACCCCAGUGCAUGGCUGCAUCUGCUGUUGGACAUUGCCAAAGAUGCCAGGGAAGGUCACCUUCUGGUCUGACCUGUUGUAGCUCUUCUGUGCAAGAAAUGUUAUUUACAAAAUCACCGGUCAUCACGUAAGCUGCAAGUCUAAAAGAAAUAGCAAGCCAGAAACCCACAUAAUAAACCUGUUUCAUCAAAUGACCAGCCAUGGGAGACUGAAGUCAAUGCUUUCAGAGAAGACAAUGCUUUUCUAGCAGAGCAGAUGUUGAAAGAUGAGAAAACAGCAAAUGUAGAUGGCAAUUACAAUCCAACUGCAUUUGGAAACUUUCAACAGAGUGAAUCUUUGGCCAGAAAGAUUGAAGAUUUGGUCACUGAAGUAUCCAACAACACACUUGUGCUGCAGAAACAUUUCUGGGUACUGCUUUAUAACCUACACUCUGCAUAAGGAUUUCCAUCAGACAACUGGCCUCUGGUAUAUCCUGACAUUGGGACUCAACAAAAUCAAACAGUAUCUUAAUUUCCAGCUCGAACCAUUCUGUGAUUCUAUGAUUAAAAAGCAGGUUCCUGGCACAGAAGAAGAACCUUUUACUUAGGCAAGUUAUGCCCACAGAACACAGUAAGUCCUCAUCCUCAAACACAAUUGAAUGGCAAAACCAUGUGAAAUUUCUAAAAGAAAUUAAUAAUGUAGAGAACAACCAACUGUUAAAAGCAGGUUUUUAGGACUCCUGAUGUACUCUCUUCCAUAUUAAAUAAUAACUCUGAGAAGGCUAUUAAAUGAUUGAGCUGUAAGGUACAUAAAUCUUACUCUGCCUUGCCACUAACAGUACUUUUGAUGAAAAUAUAUUCUUAAAUUGUACGUGUGUUGAUCAAAGAAACUGUAAAUUCUGAAGGUUCUGACAUUUCCCUAGUGAAAAGUUAUAUUCUUGCUUUGCAUCCAAGAAAAAGAUUUGUUGGUCAUUUAUUCAAAGUCUGUCAUUCAACACUCAGAAAUGAAUGAAACAAUUAAACACUAAGAUUAUUAAUGUCUUCACCUGUCUAAAAUUCUGUGCAAUUUUUCCAUGUAGGAUACAUUGCAAACUUAUUUGGUUUAUUUUCAACUCCCCCUACAAUCUCACUCUCUCCUUUUAUUUAUAUCAUGUCCAAGAACAUGGGAGUUAUAAGUUUGUUCUUGAAAACAGGAAAAAUGUGGGACUGCACAGAAAUAUUUCAAAAAUAUCAGCUGCAUAUAACAUGCUAUGAUUUAAUUGGCCAUACCAAUCAUUCCUGAGAGGCAGCACAGUGUCAGUUUCACUGACAACACAUAAAAAAUUUCUGUGACCUAUUUCUGAUGUUUUGGGCUCAUGAUAGUAGAAUAAGGAGUUAAAAGUGAAAUGCUCAGUGGCAUAUUCAUUCUUUACCUGCAACCAAACUCAUCCAGCACUGCCUUCACAAAGAUUGGGUUUGUAU